CCCGACUGCUAUUUGGGUGAGGAUAAACCAUGCGAGUUGUAUGGGAUACCUAAAUUUCCCAUAGCAAACUGCUUAGUAACACAUGAUCAACUUGCCCUAUGGAGAAAUAUAACCUCGGGAAACUGAGGAUAAUGCUUCAUAGUUGAAUAGGCUUGGAAAAGUUUUUCAAUGAAAGGGAUAAGAUAAAUGGUUCUUAUCUGCCAUAGGAUAGGAUCGUGCUCGAUUAUGGUUGUUGGUGAGGUAACGGCUCACCAAGCCGAUAAUCGAUAGGGGCCGUGAGAGCGGGAGCCCCAAGAUGGGUACUGAGACAGCGACCCAGGCCUUACGAGGCGCAGCAGGUACGAAACCUCCGCAAUACACGAAAGUGUGACGGGGUUACCCAAAGUGUUCUUAUAGAACUGUGGCAGGUGAGUAAUGUCCCCUGCUAGAAAGGAGAGGGCAAGGCUGGUGCCAGCCGCCGCGGUAAAACCAGCUCUUCAAGUGGUCGGGAUAAUUAUUGGGCUUAAAGUGUCCGUAGCCGGUUUAGUAAGUUCCUGGUAAAAUCAGGUAGCUUAACUAUCUGUAUGCUAGGAAUACUGCUAUACUAGAGGGCGGGAGAGGUCUGAGGUACUACAGGGGUAGGGGUGAAAUCUUAUAAUCCUUGUAGGACCACCAGUGGCGAAGGCGUCAGACUGGAACGCGCCUGACGGUGAGGGACGAAAGCCAGGGGAGCGAACCGGAUUAGAUACCCGGGUAGUCCUGGCCGUAAACGAUGCAUACUAGGUGAUGGUACGGCCAUGAGCCGUGUCAGUGCCGUAGGGAAACCGUUAAGUGUGCCGCCUGGGAAGUACGGUCGCAAGGCUAAAACUUAAAGGAAUUGGCGGGGGAGCACCACAAGGGGUGAAGCCUGCGGUUC
rnacentral:rRNA from 1 species